GGCUGCUUGGCUAAAGGGUACAGCGUCGCACUUGUAAUGCGAAGACCGGGAGUUCGAAAUCUCCCAGUAACCU
rnacentral:tRNA from 1 species